GGCGCGUGGUGUAAUGGCCAACACAUCAGUCCGGUCUACUGAAGAUGCUGGUUCGCUCCCAGCCGCCG